GAAAGGGCAGGACGAGAGGGGACAAAGGGAGACGGGACGGAGAAGGAGGGGGGUGGAAUCGCGGAGAAAAGGCAGAAAGAGCGGAGGGAGAAAUGGGGCAAAAGUUGGAGGGAGAAGGGAGAGGAUGGGGAAAGGGUUUGGGGAGCCCGGAGGUGGAAAAGAAGAAAACAAAACUUGUUUUUUCUUUUCUACUUUCAUUUUCCUGAAACACGGGAGAAAGUCCCGAAGUGUUGGGAGGAGACGGCGGAACUGAAAGCAUCGGGCUGAGAGCGAGUUUCUUUGUUCUUCACCGUGACAAGCAGAGCUUUCUUCCUUAUUGUCACUGUUUGGCAUCGUAAGCGGAAUCUUCUUUCAUCUUUUCCCCUGCGAUGAGGAUGCUGUGACGAUGCUCUGGAAGAGGCAGCGAUUCACUCUGCUCCAGGAUUUAGCUCUGCCCUCAGCUGAGCCACAGAUGCUGCGGAGAGGUUGCCAGGGAUGCAGACACAAUCCUACCUCCAGGUUUUUGCUGCAUCCCCGCUGCCGAGCGAGAUAUGGAUCAUACCCGGGAUUAUCGCCCAUCCGACUGGGAGGAAGGGAUGCUGAGAUGUCGGGUUGCAAGGGAGAUGGAUCUGGGCACCAGGUUUUCGUGCCGUCUCGGUGCCGUGGGGUGGGAGUGGGGUGUGGGGACCCCCCCAGUGAUGCGGGGUGCGGGAUUUUUCAGUUCUGGUGCCGCUGCUGUGCUCACGGUGAGGUCUCUGUGGCGCAAUGGACGAGCGCGCUGGACUUCUAAUCCAGAGGUUCCGGGUUCGAGUCCCGGCAGAGAUGAUCUCCAGGCAGGUGUCUCUUUUAUUUUACGUCUAUUCGUCCAUAAAUCCCCAUCCUGCUCCUUUACGACACCCCAGAAGGCUUCAGGCGGGAGAUGAUGACUUUUCACGGCGGCGUCUCGGCCGCUGAUGCUCGCAGUGCUCGCAUGCUCCCCAUCCAAGGUGCGUUUCCUCCACCAUGUUCCCCUUCCCUCGUUCUUUUCGGUAGCUCCUGGGUGCUUUGAUGUUUUAACCCUGUUUGUUCCCCCAGUUCUGCUUGUUGGACCUGUCUGAUGCUUUAAGCAAGCUGCUGUGUUUCCAGUAGAAAUCCAGUGGUCAGGCAGUGGUUUGGAACCUUGUGUUGAUAUUUCGUUUGAUAAGUGUGGCUUGUCUUUCAAAUAUAUGGAAAAAGCAAAAACAACAGUAGGUCGAUAUUCUGAGUUCUUACCUUACAGAAAUCUUCUGCAAAUGCCCUUAUUUUUCAUGUUUUCAUGUUGAUGAUGCACGUUUGCUGGCAGCCACCUCCAUAUCCCCAUGGAGGUUCAUCUUUCAUAGAAUCUCCUUCUGGGAAGGCUAAAAAAAAAAAAGUCCAAAGAAAUAAUGUGCGUGACCUCAGGGGUUGGAUGUGGAUGGAGCCCAAAACAGUGGGGAGGGAGAGCAGCAAAAGCCUUACAUGAGAAGGUUCCAUCGUGGUCCCAUUCCUCUGGAUGGAGGGGGGAAAAAAAUAUGAAUGCCAGAGCCCCGGCUCCAUGUCCAGCAGCUCCAUCACCCUGAGCAUCUCCUAUGGUGAGUGCUGAGAACUGCUCUGUGCUGUCCUGGGACAAACAGCCCCGUGCAUAUGGGAGGCAGAACUGUUGGCUUUGUGGGCUGAGCUUUGGGGAAAGGGCUUCUUGUUUCCAUAUCUCUGCAAAGUACGUCUUCCUAAAGGACACCUCAUUCCAACCCCUGCAAUGGGCAAGGCUGCCUUCAGCCAGGUCUUGGAUCUUGGAUUUUACACCCCUUCCUGCGUCCUUCCAGCUGCUGCCACCAGAACCUGGCGAUGUCCUGAUGGCAGCAGCUGGGAGAAAGGCAGAAUCUGAGCGGCUGGGUGCAGGAGUUUCCCAGGUGUCUCCUCACUCUUCUGCAGCCCUGUCAGAGCGCUGCUGCUGCUGGCAGCGCUGGGGAUCCUAUUGCUGGGGGUGGUUGUUGUCCAUGUCCUCACUGCACGCAGCAGAGAGCCAAAAGGAACGGAGCACCAAACGCCCAUGGAAGCAUCUGCAUCAGUCGUGCUCCAGCAGAGGAUGUUUGAGGCUGUCCUGCAAGGGCACCCAGGAAGCAAGCAGAAUGAGUGUCCCCACGUCCUUCCCCCAACCUGGCCCGUCCACGUUGCAGCAAAGAGAUGCUUCCCUUGGUUUUACUGUGUACAUUGCCCAAUAAAGCAUUGCUGAGCAUGGAGAGUACCAGACCCCGUGACGCCCCCAGUACAACUAAACACCCGAGCACUCUUCCCCCAUCGCUUCGGCACUUCUUUUGAGCCGUUUUCCUCUCCGAACUGAGCCGAGAACGCACCCGCUUGGCCCUCCCAGCGGUCCUUUCGUGCUCCCGGGUGCGUCUGAUUGGUGCAGCGCUGCAAUAUAUUUGCAUGGCCACGCCCUUUAUAGCCGCGCCCGUCCAUCCCGGCCACCCGGAAGUCCCUUUCCUCCUGUUGAAGCCUCUCUGCCCUGCCGCUCUCUAUGGUCAGCGGUCUUCCACGUGGCCCUACUUGUUCUGGGGGACCCCUGGAGACCCACCAGGUCCUCCCCGCUGUUCUUGGGGAUACCUCCAUGGGUGGGACACCCACACUGCUCUGUGCAGCAGCGCCAGGGCCUCACUGCCCUCUGAGUAAAGAAUUUAAGGUCCCUUGCAGCCCAACCCCUUUUGUUGUUCCAUGGUUCCGUGGUCUCUAAGGCCCGUUCCAACCCAACCGUUCUGUGAUUCCAUGGAUCUAUGAUCUUCCAGAUCUCUUCCCACCCAACUGUGCUGCGAUUCCGUGGUUCUGUUGUCUUUACAGCGCCCUCCAACCCAACCCCUUCUGUAUUUCCGUGCUUCUAUGAUCUUUAAAGGUCCAAGGGAGGAACGUUAUGGAGCUCCUGCAGUAGCUGCACACCACUGCUCUGCUGGUGUUGGCUGAUCAUUCACCCUCUGGAGGUGAAGCUGUGCUAUCAGUCGCUGCAAGCCAAGGCAGUGCCAGUGGCAUCAGCAAAGUCAGAAAUAUCCUGCUCUGCUCUGUGCUCUUUGCACCAUACUUGGAAUGCUGGUCUUGCUUUUUGCCAUUCAGAAAGGCUGGAGAUGGACUGGAGAGGAUUCAAAGCAGAACCGUGGGAUGCUCCAAGGGCUGGUGAGGGGCUGGACUUGUUCAGCCUGGAGAAAAGGCUCAGGAGACCUCAUCUGUGUGUCCCAGUAUUUGAUGUCUGUCUGCAAAGGAGUCAGACGCUCCUCAUUUACAAGGAACCAUGCAAAAAAAAUGGGGAAAUGGGCACCCGUGGCACUGGAGGAGAUUCCAGUUGGUCCCAAGAGGACAAUUUUGUCACUAUGGUAACAUGCAGACGCUGCAACAACUCCCCAGGGCCAUGGUGGAAACUAAUACUGGAGAAUGUAAGGUUUGGAUACACAAAGUGUUGGAUGUUCUGCUAUGGGAUGUGCUUUUAUCACAAUAGAUUGGACCACCUGACCUCUGAGGUCCCCUCCAACCUGAGCUUUGAUUUCUCCUAUCUCUGAUUUCUGUAAUUCCUAUUAAACCUCACAGUGUUGAUUCCUGGCAUCUCAGGACAGCCAUCCUUUGGGCUGUACCAAAGCAUCUCCAUUAACAUCUAACAAUGUACAGAGCUGGGAAAUGGCAAAAAUCUGCUCCAAUCCCCAAAGCUGCUGAGAUUUUGCUGCUUAGAGACAGAAG